rnacentral:rRNA from 1 species
UACGUAGGGUGCGAGCGUUGUCCGGAAUUAUUGGGCGUAAAGAGCUUGUAGGCGGUUUGUCGCGUCUGCUGUGAAAAUCCGGGGCUCAACCUCGGACUUGCAGUGGGUACGGGCAGACUAGAGUGUGGUAGGGGAGACUGGAAUUCCUGGUGUAGCGGUGAAAUGCGCAGAUAUCAGGAGGAACACCGAUGGCGAAGGCAGGUCUCUGGGCCACUACUGACGCUGAGAAGCGAAAGCAUGGGGAGCGAACAGGAUUAGA